GAAGGCCACUAUGAUGAUAAAGAAGCUCCCUCUUCUGAGAUGUUAUUGAGGACUCUUGCUGGCAGAAUCGAACCAAUUAUUAUUAUCGCCAUCACUGAGUGG